CGGACCAAGGAGUUUAACAUGUGCGCGAGUCAUUGGGCGUUACGAAACCCAAAGGCGCAGUGAAAGUGAAGGUCCGACAUUGUCGUCUGGACUGAGGUGAGAUCCUGUCGUUUUGUUGUGCGUGGUACCGCCAGGCUUACGAGCGAUAGGCGCAUCACCUGCCCGUCUCAUGGUGUGGUCAUACUAUUGCGGUAGCAUGCGUCACCGGGGCGGAGCUUGAGCGUACAUGUUGAGACCCGAAAGAUGGUGAACUAUGCUUGCGCAGGUUGAAGCCAGAGGAAACUCUGGUGGAGGACCGUAGCGAUCUUGACGUGCAAAUCGAUCGUCUGACGUGAGUAUAGGGGCGAAAGACUAAUCGAACCAUCUAGUAGCUGGUUCCCUCCGAAGUUUCCCUCAGGAUAGCUGGCAUUCUGGGAAACAAACAGUUUUAUCCGGUAAAGCGAAUGAUUAGAGGUAUUGGGGACGAAACGCCCUCAACCUAUUCUCAAACUUUAAAUGGGUGAGAUGCUUGACUCGCUUAAAUGGAGCCAAGCGUUGAAUGUGAGUGCCAAGUGGGCCAUUUUUGGUAAGCAGAACUGGCGCUGUGGGAUGAACCAAACGUUCGGUUAAGGUGCCUAACGCAGACGCUCAUGAGAGACCACAAAAGUGUUGGUUGGUCCAGACAGCAGGACGGUGGCCAUGGAAGUCGGAAACCGCUAAGGAGUGUGUAAUAACUCACAUGCCGAAUCAACCAGCCCUGAAAAUGGAUGGCGCUUGAGCGUUGGACAUAUACCGAACCGUCACUACAAGCUGAGCUGGUAAAGUUUGGCACACAAUGAAACAAAUAUGUGUUCAUAGCUCAGGCAUGGAGUUGUGGUGACGAGUAGGAGGGUCUCCGUGGUGAGCAGGAAGCUCAGGGCGUGGGUCCGAGUGGAGCCGCCACGGGUGCAGAUCUUGGUGGUAGUAGCAAAUAUUC
rnacentral:rRNA from 1 species